AGGGAACCUGAGAAACGGCUACCACAUCUAAGGAAG
rnacentral:rRNA from 1 species